rnacentral:lncRNA from 1 species
AAGUCAAAUGGUGCCGAGACAUCUUGCUGGUCCAAGACAAUCUGUAUUUUGCCACAGCAUAUUUUGAGGUCCUUUCUGCAGGCCAUUUGGGACCCGGUGCUUCAAAGUACCUCCCAGUUAAUCCCGAGUGAACACUCACUGAGGUGUCAGGUGUGAGCCUUACCUGUGCAGUUAGGCUUUAUCAUCUCAUCUGGAGGCCACUCUCCCUCCGAUGUACUUCACUCCAGAAACAGGACAGGAGGACACAGUCAGAGGAGGUGAGAGUCAGAGCUUGAGAGAGCACAGAGAAUCCCCGUUAGCCUGGAGGCAGGGACGCACAGAGCAGGUCCUGUGGGGUGUGGGGUGUAGGGUGUGGAGGGCAGUGUCCUCCCGGGACCUUUGAAACCCCCGCUACCCCACAGGUGCAGGUGCUGAGCACUGUCCAAGAGUCGCAGUCCAGCUUCCCCAGUCAACUGUCGCCAUAGAGACGGAAGCUUGAGCUUGCAACAGAGGCUGAGUAGACAGAGGCUGAGUAAGAAUUUCGCUGUAGGCAAUGGCUUGGAGUUAAGACCUUCCAGGCUGCAGGAAAUGGAGAAAGGCCUCAAGGGAGAGACGUUCCCACCCUGAAGCGUGAGGCCAGUCCUGGAUGGAGCCCGAGAACUUCUCAGUCUGCGGCCAGGGACAGAGACCAGAGGAGGACUCCAUGAAGCUGUGGGAUUUGAAGAGGGACAGAGGAGCACUGGAGCCAGGAAAUGUCAUUGUCUGGAGCCGUCCACCCUGAUGUCAUCAUCCUAUUGUAUGGAGACCGAUGAGUUGUGCAGGUUGCAAGCCAUGCUUCCUGGUUCCGCUUCUCAGGUCACCUAACAUCUAGAAAAGUCUGUCCCACCCUCUCCCCUGAUCUUCUGUUACACGGUAUAUAGGGUCAGGGUAAGGCUUGAUCCCUAGUUAGUCUUCUGUUCGUUAAGAAGCCCCCAAAGCCAUGUUCCUGUUUACCCCGAAUAACCACAGCACUUUCUGCCGGGAAAGCCUUGCCUGGCUUCUCCAUUUGCUUUGUAGGAAGGGCACACAGGGACUUAUCUCGCAGUGCCUGGGAGCUCUUCAGCUCCCUUCGGGUGGGGUUACUCUGUUCUGCUCGUGUUUGCCGGGUUGUUUCUUUCUUCUUCACAACCUCAUUUACCACAGAGCCGAUUCCAGCUUACAAGUACGGCUGGAGCAGCUUGACAGAACAAACCCAAUCAUCUUGCUUUGCUUUUGCUCUCAGCAAAAAAUAAAAAUUUAGUCACUGGGGAUGUAGCUUAGGGAUAGACCACUUACUUAGCAUGUGCUACGGUCUGGCUUCAAUUCCCAGCACUGCAAAGUAACAACAAUAACACAAAUAAAUAAAAGUAUGCUAUAGUACAUCUGAG